GAGGGCUUAAAAAAAACUAUAUCUGGAGACACAACUCAUUCCAAACCACGCCAAAAACAGAAAGAGAAGAGGAGAAAUCUAGAGAGAGAUGGGAGAAGAUGUGAAGCAACGAAAUACGAUUAUAAAACGGAACAAGACAGAGCAGAGAGGCGGGAGACGGGAAUACACUGCAAAUAUAACACCACAGCAGUUAAAAUGUGUUUAAUUAAGAAUAUUCAUGUUGGUUUGAUGAGUUUAGACCGUUUAGAAGCUGAUAUUUCAACGUAAAAUCAGUCUGAUCCAUAGACUGUGUAAAGAAGUGUCGAGGCUACAGCAGUUAUAGCGACAAAUUUAGAGCAGAGUUUCAUAUUUGGAAUUCCAACCGCGAGUAUCAUAGCAACCAAAGAGCCAAUCCAAAGCGAGGAUGUUGAAGGUACAUGCAACUUCCUGCCCACACUGCUGGUUUAGCAGGGAGCGGGCGCUUAGCAACAGGUUUGAUUGACAGAGUUGCUAAUGCUAGCGGGAGCGACCUCGGGGAAUGAAGGCGUCUGAUUUGUCUGUUAUUAAUGUUCAUAUCUUGAUUUACAGACACAAUAGCGAAAUAAAAACCCCAGGAUCAUGUAGAGCGGGUUAAUACGAACAUUUAAGACCAAAAUGACAACAUUAUGUAGAAAGUGAAUUGUCGAUGGAGCAGGAAGAGCACGCACGAUCACUUCAUGUUUGGAACACGUGACUAGCAGGUUAGCUAUGUCUGUUUAUGUACACAGUCUAUGGUCUGGUCACGCUUCUGUCAUUUCAAAAGUGGAGUAUGAAAUCAGCUCUUUUUAACGGAAGCGGUUGGCAACACAAAUUGACAAAUUAAUAGCUCAAUACUUUCGGGGAUUAUCUGAAGUCUUGGUCAAGGAUUCAAAUAUUGAUAAGUCGUCACUACAAGCAAACUUCUAGUGUAAUCCAUUUUAAUGAACUCUUUCUUUUCCCUGUUUUUAAAUUGUUUCAUUAUAGAUGAUAAUGCAGAAUACUCAAAAAACACAGCAUUUUUCAAAAUACUCCUCAAUCAACAUAUUCAAUCAAAUAUUCUUAAUUUCAAAUCAUUUUAACAUAUGCUGGUGUUAAAUUUUGCAGUGUAUGUUUCCGAAGGGGAGUUGUCAUCCUAAAGCGUUCCACUUGCCAUUGUCAGUCUGAAGGCCAGUUUUGCACCUUCAAUGUUCACUUUCCAUCCGCAGUAAUCUUGUCCUUCGCAAGGCAUCAUGGGAGUUCAAGGGUCGCCGUCACGUCAAAUGAAAAUGAAGAUAUUUUUUGUGAUUGCGUGUGGUUUUGAAGUUGUCCGUUUGCAUUGUCCCAGCAGACAGGAUACAGAACAUAGUCAUGACGUUGUCUUUUUUUUCCCAAGUUCCAAACCAGCAUCUAAUUUCCAAGUUCCAAGAUGUCUGGCAUUUUGAAUUUUCUUUACACAUAUUUUUUUCCCCCAAAUGUUUUAUAGUUCAAAAUACUCCUCUCCGUUGCAUUCAUAUACUGUCGUCGCUGGCUUUGUCUCGACUCCACAGAAUUCGAUUUUUUAAAAAAACUAGAGUUACAUGCAACAUUUGGCAUCUGCAUUCUCUGCGUAUAGGCGGGAUCCGUGAAAUCCAUUCUUAGAAAAAUAUCUUUUUUUUAAUUCUUCUGAUUGUAACAGAGAGACAGAGAGAGGUGUGUUGGCAAGCACGAUUUCAACCUAGGUUUUUGUGUUAGUAAAAUCAGUCUCCGCCUCCGUUUUUAAGUCUAAAGUGUCAAGUUUAUAUUUACAGAAGCAGGUUUACCAAAAAGAAAAAAUGUCACGGAAACUCAAACUUUUAUUAAUUCACGUUGUUGUGUACAGAUACAUGGGAUAUAAACCAUAAAUUUCGAACUUUAACCCGUUACUUUUUUACCACACUUUGAACCCUGCGGCCUAUACACUGCUGCGGUUAAUUUAUAGAUUUUUAGCCACCAGGGGGCACUCUCUAGCAGUAAACGCAAAAGUGAGACAGAUGUGGGGAAAGAUUAACAUAAAAAUUAGUGUAUUGUUUCUUCAGGGCAUAAAGGCAAUGGAUCUGGCGUCAAAGAAGGAACAGAGCCACUGCAUGAAAGUUUGGCAUCACUGACCCGAUGGUGCGACGUUGGAGGCGGCAGCGGGAAGAACUUAGUCAAUGUGAAAAGACGACAAAAGCUUUCAGAGGAAAUAAAAGCAGAUGGCCCGGGUUGGUGCCGUUUAACUUUCUAAAUAUGCAGGUAUGUUGUUGAUGGCGUGUUGAUGGUGAUUUUCAGGCACAGUUUGAAAAAAGCGUUUCUUAAAUUAAAACUCAAAAACUGUGCAUCGUCUUUCUCUGCAAAUAUCUCAUGUUAGAUCAAGAUAUUUGUAACGUGCGGCGUAUAUUCAAGUGCGGCUUAUAUAUGUGCAAAAUUAAUUUUCUUUUAAAAUUUAGCGGGUGUAGCUUAUAUUCAGGUGCGUGUAAUAGUCCGAAGUUGACAUUAUGUGCAUAUUUUAGUUCAUUUUCAGUUAUGUGUUUAUGAAAAUAAGCAAAGGCUGUGUCCGAACGUCUCCCCCAGCUCCUCAAGUAAACGAACUGGAUUUUUACAUUUUUGUCUGAGAUGUGGAAAUUCUCGCUCUUUUAACAGCUCGAGCUAAAGCGGCUAAUGCUAGCAACUUUUAUUGGAGAAUGUUUUAUUCAUAAUUAGGAUCAACAGUGAGACAAAACGGCGCUUCUACCUGCUUCACUCAGUUGUGGUGUGUCCAGUUAAAGACCUGUCGCCGCACUAUUGUUUUUCCGACUCUCGCAAUGCAUUGUGGUCUAUACUGACCGCUCUAGUGACCAUCAAUGUCCACUAUAUUUCAAGGUGCAUUGUGGGAAACUUUGAGUGCACUACUUUUCACUCACCUGAUAUUCAGACGUCACUAAAAAUGGUGUGCUCCGUAAGCAGCGCCCCCUGUAGGGAGUACUAUGGAAAUUCAGACACAGCCAGAGAAAUUCAAAUUGAGUUGUUGUUUUUUACUUUUAAAGAACGUUUCAAACUGGACAACAGCGCCAUGUUGUGGACUGGAGGUCAAACUCUAAUGGAUAAUAUGAAUGAGAACACUGCAGUUUAACUUCAUAACUUCUAUUUAUGUUUUCCAUUUCCUGAG
ensembl:lncRNA